AUAACUAAAAUUUGUAGGGAACGUUUGCUUACGUUUGCCGCUAGGGGCGCGGUUCCAACUGCAUACAAAUUUGUGUUA
rnacentral:pre_miRNA from 1 species